AAUGACAGGUGAAAGACUUGUCGUUGUAAAGAGCGCUAGCCAGGUGUAUGUUUGAUUACAUAAGUGAUGUACCGCACUUAGGAAAUGAAGUGUCCGACAACACUUCCGAUUGACAAAACGUGCUGUUCUAUAGUUUCAGUUGACAGAAGUUCUUAACAACGUGAAUAACCAACUACAACCUUGAAUACAAAGUACAAGCUCAGACUGCAACUAGAAUGAGGCAGCAGCAUCGGCUCGUGCUGUGCAGCAGUCUGCUAAUCUGUACAAAUAAAAUGCCUCUUAUUUUUGGGAGCAUUGUACAAUCAGUCGGGAAACCUCAGAUCCAGCGGAUAUUUGGCUUUGAUGAAGUUUAACCUUCCGAAGAUGUAAUGGAGGUCUUGGAUUAUUAAAUCCAGGUGCAGUAUUCACACAGACAUAUAGGUGAUGGAAAGCGAUGGAGCAAACAUUAACAGAUGGAGAAUAUUACUUCCUGCUCAAGGACUUCAAGAAUGCUACUAUCACUGUGGAACUUUUCAGAAGCAAGCAGAAUACAGCCUCAUCUGAAUGUGGAAUGUGAUUCUGAACAUGGUUAUCUGUCAUAUCUCUGAAUUUACUCUUUUUCAGUUAUUUAUUAUCUGCUAUCUGUCCGUCUGUCUACCUAUGGCAGAGCUACUUGGUCAUGGAACAAGUUAGUAGACAGUAUACAAAAUGCCAAUUAGAAAAUUUGUAAAAUAAAAGAAUUA